GUGUAGGUUUCUGGUUCUCAAACUGCCGGACAUUAACAUCUGUCUGCGGACUGUGAGAAUGCGGACCUCCCCAGGUCCAAGGAAAUUCUGAAUCCGUAGGUCUGAAGGGAGAUCAAGAAUCAGACUUAUUUUACUCAUCUGGAUUGUUCCAAGGCCCGUGAGUAGGGAAAUGCUUCUUCCAGUCCCUCCCCCACGGAUCCCACCCUUGGACUCUUGGAUCCAAGUACACUUUUAAAGCUACGAGUUGCCCCCUGGAAGGAAAACGCCCGCCACGGACUUGGUCCGCCCAGAAGAAAAACUGAGACUAAGGAUUCAGGAUUCAAAACCCGCCGAGAUUCUGCCGCGUUCAGGGAGGAAACUUCUUUAGAUCCAAAGUGACUUCCUGAGAUAAGACGACAGCAGAACCAAAAAUAAAUAAAAUAAGACGCCAGCAGAGUCCGCGGUUUACAUACACGCCCUGUGGCAUUUGGGAGUUCCCCAAGCAAGGGAUCCAACUCAGGCCACUUCGGUGACAACAAAGGAUCCUUAAUCCACUGAGUCACAAGGGAACGCCUUUGUUGUUUUUGGGUUUUGUUUUUAAUAAGCUACAGAUUUUAAAAAAUCAAAUUAACUAAAAUCCAACACCAGAAGCUGUAUUUUGAGAUAAUCUUUCACAUUUUCAGAGCCUUGAAUUUUUCAAAGAGUGCUUUUGAAAGGGAUGUUUUUAGUGGAGUGGACAGACACAUACACAAGCAUUUAUGAGGCACAGACUCAUAAAAAGACACACAAAUGGGGGGCACACAGGGGAUCCUGUCACAUUUAUGAUCAAACCAUAUAGUUUGAAACCUGUCUUGCCAUUACGUUCUCCAGUCGAGGAAAGUUUGGGGCAAAUCUUUUCCUUAAGCCUCCAUUCGUCCUUGUGAAAAGUUAAAGGCUUUCAGAGCAAGUCUGAGGAAGGACGCGGAUAUUCUUCUGUCUUUGGUCUUUUUAGGGCCACACCCAGCGGCAUAUGGAGGCUCCCAGGCUAGGGGUCUAAUCGGAGCUGUAGCCGCCGGCCUACACCACAACCACAGCAACACAGGAUCCUAGCUUUGUCUUCGACCUAUACACAGCUCACAGCAAUGCCGGAUCCUUAACCCACUGAGCAAGGCCAGGGAUCGAACCACAACCUCGUGGUUCCUAGUCAGAGUUGUGUCUGCUGUGCCUCCACGGGAACUCAGGACACUGAUUUUCUGAUCUGAGGAAAUUUCGAGAAUGUUGGACAAUGGCAGUGUCUGGGUAAGAGCAUCCAGCCCCACCUGGAGCAUGCUUGCUCUAGGUCACAGUUUGGCCCCGGCUCAAGGAGAGGACGAAGAGAAACUGCACCCGCUUUUGGCUGAGCCUGGCGCCCAGGCAGCUGAGCAGGAUGUGCUUCUGCUCACAAUCACCACCCGACCCGCUCUGCUUCCUGUAGAUGCUGAGGGAGCCCACUCGGCCUUGGGAGGCCCAGCUGGUUCAAGAGUUUUGUGCCGAGACCUGGGCUGCUCCUGGCGAUUUCUGAUGCGCUUAAACUGCGAGGAGACUGUAAAUUUUUUCUUUUGAAAGAUUGGCUUCUAUCUCCCACUCUGACUGGUUUACCAGAUUCAUCUCAAUAAAACACAAAAACAAAA